AAUGAACGUUGGCGGCGUGGAUUAGGCAUGCAAGUCGUGCGGAAAGGCUCCUUCGGGAGUACUCGAGCGGCGAAAGGGAGAGUAACGCGUGGAUAUCUACCCCCUGGACCGGGAUAGCGGCGGGAAACUGCCGGUAAUACCGGAUAAAGUCUCCGGACCAAAGGUGUGAUUCCGUCCGAGGAUGAGUCCGCGUCCUAUUAGCUAGUUGGUGAGGUAACGGCCCACCAAGGCUGUGAUGGGUACCGGGUGUGAGAGCAUGGCCCGGCUCACUGGGACUGAGACACUGCCCAGACACCUACGGGUGGCAG
rnacentral:rRNA from 1 species